UACGAAGGGGGCUAGCGUUGCUCGGAAUUACUGGGCGUAAAGCGCACGUAGGCGGCUUUCUAAGUCGGAGGUGAAAUCCUGGAGCUCAACUCCAGAACUGCCUUCGAUACUGGAGAGCUUGAGUCCGGGAGAGGUGAGUGGAACUGCGAGUGUAGAGGUGAAAUUCGUAGAUAUUCGCAAGAACACCAGUGGCGAAGGCGGCUCACUGGCCCGGUACUGACGCUGAGGUGGCGAAAAGCGUGGGGAGCAAACAGG
rnacentral:rRNA from 1 species